GACGAACGCUGGCGGCGUGCUUAACACAUGCCAGUCGAACGGAAAGGCCCCUUUGGGGGUCCUCGAGUGGCGAACGGGUGAGUAACACGUGAGUAACCUGCCCUUGACUUCGGGAUAACUUCAGGAAACUGGGGCUAAUACCGGAUAGGAAUCCUUGCUGCAUGGUGGGGGUUGGAAAGCUUCGGCGGUUUUGGAUGGACUCGCGGCUUAUCAGCUUGUUGGUGGGGUAGUGGCUUACCAAGGCUUUGACGGGUAGCCGGCCUGAGAGGGCGACCGGCCACAUUGGGACUGAGAGACGGCCCAGACUCCUACGGGAGGCAGCAGUGGGGAAUAUUGCACAAUGGGCGGAAGCCUGAUGCAGCAACGCCGCGUGCGGGAUGACGGCCUUCGGGUUGUAAACCGCUUUCAGCAGGGGCGAAGCUUGUGGUGACGGUACCUGCAGAAGAAGCACCGGCUAACUACGUG
rnacentral:rRNA from 1 species